ensembl:lincRNA Gm36888 predicted gene, 36888
GGGAGAUGGCUAAGUUGGUAAAUCACCUGCUACAAAACCAUAAAGACCUGAGUUUGGAUCCAGGAACCCAGAUUUCAUCCAUGGACUUUGGCAAUUUUUAUCUUAUUUGGAUAUAACAUAUGAGCUGCUGAUCUGAAGAAUCCCAUGCCAAAAGGACUGGAUUAAGAAGUCACAUUCCUUCCUGAAUUUCAGUGGAGUGGAGCAGACUGCAGGAUGGGGGAGAAACAGUUUAUUUAAAGACUCCCAAAGACGUGAAGGAGUAAGAAAGGAAGGCAGGACCAGUGUUAAAACUUCUCUAUCUAUUCUGUGAGCUUUCUCUUCUCCUCUAGUCCUGACCUCAGGACCACCUGUCAUGUGCCUUGGCAAUGUACAGGUGUAAGUUUCUAGUCCAGUGCACUGGUGAAUUAUAAACAUGAAUAUGCCCUAAUCCUAAUAUACAUAUCUUUCCUUAACUACUGUAAUAAGUACAUCUAAUCAAAUAGAUGUGUUUUCCUAUUUGAUAUUGCUUAGUGGAACUGCCACUGCCCAGGUGAUUGUAUUGGGAAAAAAAAAAAAAAAAAAAAACUAUNNNNNNNNNNNNNNNNNNNNNNNNNNNNNNNNNNNUUCUUUUCUUUUCUUUUCUUUCUUUCUUUCUUUCUUUCUUUUACUAUUCUUAUUUGGGACUUUAUUGUCUCUCUACCUAUCCUGAGCUUAGUUCUUUUGCCUUUCUUUCUCUCUAUUCUAGUAUUGUCCAAAUCCAUCAUUUAUACUUUUAAAAGCAAAUAACUGGCUAUUUUUUUUUUCAUUUUAAACACUUCAAUGUCUCACCACUACCCUCAGGAAAAAAAUGUGUUAUAUGUACCUGGCUAAAUUUAUAUCUAAUGUAUUAAUUUUUAUGCUUUUCUUUUCAUCCUGCUGAGUAAGCCACAAUUAAGUUAAAACUAAAGUUGAGUAACCUUGACAUGGGCAAUGAUACCGUAUCCAGAGGGAUAUUGAGUGAGAGCAAGUAGAAAAAUCAGUCAUUAAAAAUCCAAUUAGGAAAUGUGAGGGAAAUAACAGGGUUUAGACCCAAACAAGCCAACACUCCAGAGGAGAUAAAAGAAAAGAUUACAUUGAGAAGACUGAAAAGGGACCUUUUACAGUCUCAAAUGCCUGUGCCCUGUAGUGAGGGAAGAAGAAGUGGCAGAGAGCAGGAGGCCAACAGUAAGAGGAUGAGGGACAAACUCGGUGGAUUGUCUUGUGGGGCUGUGGGACAUUGCAAACAAGUCUCCCCCUAGUAGAAGACACUUUGCCAUCUGACUUUUGUGUUUUCCUUUAUACCAGCUGUUCCUCUCUGCCUUAUGUACAGUGACCUUCGUUCAAUAGAAGGCACACUGCUGUUCAGACUAGAAGGUGGCAUCUUGCCUAAGAUUUUGUCUCACACACCCCACUUGGAAUGGUAACUCUCCAUUUUCCCUCAGUACAUCCAUAAACAUAGGGAAGAGCCUAUGGGUCAAGGAGAGCACCAGCACUCACUGGAGAAUUCCAUUGUGGUUAAAGCAUUCUUCUCACAUGUCUAUGACCGUAAUUCUCCUGCAGUGCCUGUCCCUUCACACAUAGCUAAUCCACUGGAAUUACCUCAAGGCACAACAGACAAGAUUGAGUUCAGCAAGUGCGUUCCUUUAUGAAGAAUCUUCUAUUCCUGCUACAUAAAAAGUCAUAGUGUACAUAUGAAUCUAUUAACAGUACAUCAUUUUAGAAUACAUGGCUUUCUUUUAUCUUGUCACAUGUACGCAUGUACAAAAUGCAUCAAAAUACUUUAGUAUUGUUACUUUCCCAUCAGUUCUCACUUAUCUUCACCAAACCUGGCUUUAAUUUUGGGAGGACCUUUGCCUAUCUGUUUGGUACUCAGUACUAGUGCAUUUGAUGAAUGUGGGACAGAGGAAUGAAGGUAAGGAGACAAAUCUCUUCUUUCAAUCCUUAGCGAUCAGCUCAAGGCAGAAGCAGUAAAUUAUUCUGUGAAAUCGUCACUGCUAUCUUCUUUUUCCUCAGGUAAUUCCUUGUUUCUGUCAAUUUAUGCCCUAACUGAAUUUUUACAUUUUAUUUCCAACUCCUGGUUUUGAUUAUAAAAAGCUUACCAGACAUGAUAGUGUUAUAGCUCUAAGUAAGGGGUAAGUUCUCCAGUGUAACAGGUGCCGAAGUUAAGUAACUGUAUAUGCUGGUCCAAAUUCCUGCCUUCAGUCCAAUGUACUAUGACUUAGAAAGACAGGUGCAUGUGUGCACACUUGCAUGCACAUGUGUAUGUGUACACACAUGCAUGUACACAGUCAAACAUACUUAAAGCCUAUGCUUUAUGUUGUAAAAAUAUUUUAUAUGCACUACCAUUCAUUUUUCUUACAUUGUUGGGAAUGAAAAUGAGGAUUUUUGUACAUGUGAGCCAAGAACUCUAUCUCUGAACUCCAUACCAAGUGAAGAGAUUUCCUAACAUAUGUAAUAUUGCUUGCUGUGAUCUCAUAUAGCCUAAGUGUAUAAACAAUCAGAACAACCCUUCUAUUUUCCUCUUCCCUAACUAUACAAACCAUGUCCCUGUCCCUAAUUUCUGAAUGCCUCAAACUGUCUUCAACUGAAAGCAUUGUUUUUAUAGAGCACUUAGGAGCUCAGGCAACUUCAUGCUGGCAUUCCGGGUUGACUAAACUCUGAACAGUUAAGGAAAGAUGUUCAGUUUCCUCCUUGUGUUUUCAUCACCAUGAACCAGGUGACUACAAAAAAUAAAGUUUUGUAAAAUAAAUGAUUUCUUACAGUUACCUC